UCUUCGACAGUAUGGCCAAAGCUGGAAACAAGCUGCAGCCGGCUGUCGAAAAAU
rnacentral:pre_miRNA from 1 species